UACAGAGGUCCCAAGCGUUGUUCGGAUUCAUUGGGCGUAAAGGGUGCGUAGGCGGCGCGGGUAAGUCGGGUGUGAAAUCUCGGAGCUUAACUCCGAAACUGCAUUCGAUACUGCCGUGCUUGAGGACUGGAGAGGAGACUGGAAUUUACGGUGUAGCGGUGAAAUGCGUAGAUAUCGUAAGGAAGACCAGUGGCGAAGGCGGGUCUCUGGACAGUUCCUGACGCUGAGGCACGAAGGUCAGGGGAGCAAACGGG
rnacentral:rRNA from 1 species